rnacentral:sRNA from 15 species
CUAUGGGGUCGUCCUGUGGGCCAGUGGCCGCAUGACGCUUCCGGGAGGUCGGUGUGACCAGCGGAUUGUCCCUGUGUCAGGGCU